GGAAUAUUGGACAAUGGGGGCAACCCUGAUCCAGCCAUGCCGCGUGUGUGAAGAAGGCCUUCGGGUUGUAAAGCACUUUCAGUAGGGAGGAAAGGUAGCGUGUUAAUAGCACGUUACUGUGACGUUACCUACAGAAGAAGGACCGGCUAACUCCGUGCCAGCAGCCGCGGUAAUACGGAGGGUCCGAGCGUUAAUCGGAAUUACUGGGCGUAAAGCGUGCGCAGGCGGUUUGUUAAGCAAGAUGUGAAAGCCCCGGGCUCAACCUGGGAAUUGCAUUUUGAACUGGCAAACUAGAGUCUUGUAGAGGGGGGUAGAAUUCCAGGUGUAGCGGUGAAAUGCGUAGAGAUCUGGAGGAAUACCGGUGGCGAAGGCGGCCCCCUGGACAAAGACUGACGCUCAGGCACGAAAGCGUGGGGAGCAAACAGGAUUAGAUACCCGAG
rnacentral:rRNA from 1 species